UGCAGCUGAAUGGGCGUGGCGGCCACAAUACGUCAUCCUCCUCUCAGAGUUUUAUUGACGCCCCUGCUCAGUAUAUAUUCACAGCAACAGCAGAGCUUCCCAUCUAUAAUACAGUGAUGAGCUCCAGAGAUAAGGCACCGCCCCCAGCGAUGGGAUUGGCUGACAAUAGUCUCUGAUGUUGCAGCAACUCAAGGCCCCGGCUGUGCUGCAGUUUUUGAAAUAGCCGAGACCCCUUGGCAGCGUCGAAGCCGACGAACGUCCUGAACCGCCGAAAAGCCGAAGUCCCGAACUGCUGAAGUUCCAAAGUUACGAAAAGAGCUGAACUUGAAGCUCUAUAGCCGCGAAAAGACCCAAAGUCACAAAAAGAGCAAAACUUGAAGUCCUGAAGCCAUGAAGAGACCCAAAGUCGCAAAAGAGCCUUAUGCUACGAAACCCCAAAAAUGUUGCUGUACAGGGCCCCGUGAUUUCUAAUGGCGGCCCUGUGUAUAUUUAUAUAGAGCUGUGCCAACGCCCUCAGCUGGCUGCUCAUUGUUCUAGACACAAUCUAUUUUGCUUGGCCCCCAGUAAAUGUACCUGAGCGAGAAUCCUUAAUAUAGCCUCUUGCACCGAGCAUAAUGUUAUCAGUUACUCACAAUUAUAUACAAAAUAGAAAGGUCAAGUAAUAACAAUAGAUAUUUAUAAAUCCAUCUAACAUGAUACAUCAGUGCGUCAUUGAAACAAAACACAAGCUUUUGCUAUUACCAAACUGGUAGAAUAAGCUAAAUGCUGCCAUGUCAGAUUAGAAUUUAUUUAAAUGGGAGCAAAAUGAUGUGAGAUCAGGUACAUACAAUAAUAAUAAUAAUAAUAAUAAUCAAACAUAGCCAUAUAUGAUGGAAACAUGAAAGGACAAAACCAGGGGGGUUCUGGGAAAUGUCUCCAUAAGUUCAAAGAUCUAGGUGGAUAAUAAAUAUCCCAUAUUUGGGAGGGACAAAUAACUGCUCCAUAAUACAGGGACUAUACAGUUGUAUACAAUGUGCAAUAUACCGCCCUACCCCACAUUAAUCUAGGGCCAUGAAGCUUACAAUUCAUUCACGCAAUCAUUUUGAUUCCUGAGCCCCUGUUCUAUAAUACUUCGCAGGCAUGUUGCAUUUUAUAACUCCUGUUUAGUGAUGGCUGAAUCUGACCCAUUUCGUUUCACCAAAAAUUAGCAAAACGCCGAAUUUUUGAUGCACGCCAAAUAUUUUAUGACUCCCAUUGGAGUCUACGUGCGCCAUUUUCUCAGCGAAACUUACAUUCAUCACUACUCCUAUUCCCUGUGACUUUCCUUGUAUUGGUUUAUUAGAUGAAUAUCUAUUUCUCCAUUCCCUGUGCAAAUAUCUGAUGUACACAACAAUCUGUCCUAAUGACCGGAUCAGCAGUGUCAUGGGAUCCUCACGCUUGAGCAAAUGAUCAUUACAGCAUGAAAUGAGGCAAUGGGUUGUCAUGGAGAGAUGACCCACCCCCCAGGGAACAUGAGUGCAAUGAAUUGGGCUUGUGCUGUAAAUACGGUUUGCUCAUUGUUUUAAUUACAAAAUGAUGAAAAUGAA